UACGUAGGGGGCAAGCGUUGUCCGGAAUCAUUGGGCGUAAAGAGCGUGUAGGCGGCCCGGUAAGUCCGCUGUGAAAGUCGGGGGCUCAACCCUCGAAUGCCGGUGGAUACUGUCGGGCUAGAGUGCGGGAGAGGCGAGUGGAAUUCCUGGUGUAGCGGUGAAAUGCGCAGAUAUCAGGAGGAACACCGAUUGCGAAGGCAGCUCGCUGGAACGUAACUGACGCUGAGACGCGAAAGCGUGGGGAGCAAACGGG
rnacentral:rRNA from 1 species